GCCUGGCUGGCUCAGUCAGUGGAGCAUGAGACUCUUGAUCUUGGGGUUGUGGGUUCGAGUCCCACAUUGGGGA
rnacentral:tRNA from 1 species